GUUCCUGUAGCUCAGCAGGAUAGAGCGAUUGCCUCCUAAGCAAUAGGCCGCUGGUUCGACUCCAGUCAGGAACG
rnacentral:tRNA from 4 species